AACGAACGCUGGCGGCAUGCCUAACACAUGCAAGUCGAACGAAGUCUUCGGACUUAGUGGCGCACGGGUGAGUAACGCGUGGGAACCUGCCCUUCGGUACGGAAUAACGUCGGGAAACUGACGCUAAUACCGUAUAUCUCUCCGGAUGAAAGAUUUAUCGCCGGAGGAGGGGCCCGCGUCUGAUUAGCUAGUUGGUGAGGUAAUGGCUCACCAAGGCGACGAUCAGUAGCUGGGCUGAGAGGAUGAUCAGCCACACUGGGACUGAGACACGGCCCAGACUCCUACGGGAGGCAGCAGUGGGGAAUAUUGGACAAUGGGGGCAACCCUGAUCCAGCAAUGCCGCGUGAGUGAUGAAGGCCUUCGGGUUGUAAAGCUCUUUUGCCAGGGACGAUGAUGACGGUACCUGGAGAAUAAGCCCCGGCUAACUUCGUGCCAGCCGCCGCUGUAACAC
rnacentral:rRNA from 1 species